AUGCUUAACUGAUUGAAUCACCCAGGCAUUUCUAAUAGUUGCCUUUUAAACCAUCAAUAUUGUUUUAGGUGUUGUUUGAUCUUUGGAUUAUGCUUUGGGGAGCCACGUUGUCUAGAUGGAUCUGUGUUAUUAUCCUUAGGGGAGGUUGGUGCUACUGUUGUUGCUAUUUUACAAAGAGACAGAAACCAAGUCAUGGAGAGUUUUGGUAACCUGUGGCAGGGCUGGUCUGCGAGUCCAAGCACGCAGCCUCAGAGCCCUUGCUGCCAAAUACAGGACUGUGUGUCCUGACACACAGCUGUGCAGGAUGCAAGUGAACCUGAAGGGAGCAGAUUAGGAUGGAAAACAUUCUAAUGGAUCAAGAAUUGUGAAUUUUGUCAAUUGCAACCUGUCAACUGCACCUUGACCAUCUCCUGGAUCUCAUCCUUCUACUUUGGACUGAAACAGAGAUAAGAUAGCAUCUGUUAGCUAAAUGGCCAAUUGUGGCUUAGGCAGUUCAGCUCUGUCAGCAUCAAUGUUAAUUCCUUCAAAACAAGUUAUAUAACCUUGUGGAUUUUGCCUGCACUUCUCACUUGCAAUUCAGAGCACACUUUCAAUUUUUGGUCUCUCUGUAUCUCCCAGAUUGCAAUCCU